rnacentral:rRNA from 1 species
ACGGAGGCGCCCAAAGGUUCCCUCAGCCUGGAUGGAAAUCAGGCCUUGGCGUGUAAUGGCGUAAGGGAGCUUGACUGUGAGGCCGACAAGCCGAGCAGGGACGAAAGUCGGGCAUAGUGAUCCGACGGCUCUGAAUGGAAAGGCCGUCGCUCAACGGAUAAAAGCUACCCCGGGGAUAACAGGCUGAUCUUGCCCAAGAGUUCACAUCGACGGCAAGGUUUGGCACCUCGAUGUCGGCUCGUCGCAUCCUGGGGCUGGAGUAGGUCCCAAGGGUUGGGCUGUUCGCCCAUUAAAGCGGUACGCGAGCUGGGUUUAGAACGUCGUGAGACAGUUCGGAUCGUAUCCGCUGUGGGCGCAGGAGAUUUGAGGAGAGCUGACCUUAGUACGAGAGGACCGGGUUGGACGGACCGCUAGUGCACCAGUUGUUCUGCCAAGAGCAUCGCUGGGUAGCCAUGUCCGGAUGGGAUAAGCGCUGAAAGCAUCUAAGUGCGAAGCCCACUCCAAGAUAAGAUCUCCCACCGGAUAACCGGGUAAGACCCCAGAGAGACCAUCUGGUUGAUAGGCCGCGGGUGUAAGAGAGGUGACUCUUUGAGCUGAGCGGUACUAAUCGGUCGAGGGCUUGACCUC